AAGUCAGUGAUGGAGUGUUUAACUGGUAAGCAUGAGGCUCUCACUCAAUCCCCAGAACUGCUAAAGCACUAGUUACCUAUUGGUGAUGGUAUCCUUGGAUGAAGGUAGUCUGCUGAGGCUGCUUGAGUUCGAAAUACCUGUGACAUUGGAGGAGAGGGCGCUCUUUGGCUCAAUAAAGAUGCAGUAGCCUCCAAGCUCCCCAUAAGGCCACUGAGAAGAUUGGAAGAAGCGGGUCUCUGAACCGGUUGACCCAGAAGUUCCUAUAGGCAGAAAUGCCAGAUCCCUGUGAACAAACCUAUUUCUUCCUUCUAGUCAAAAGCUUUGAAAACUAACUUCACUUUUGAGAGCUAGCCAAUGCCUCUUACUUGCAGCACUGAGGAUCUAGCAUCUGUACACGAAAGACAUUUUCCCAAAUGUUUAGCUACCAAUUACAUUUGCUCUAAGUUAGUGCUACAGAUACAGAUUAGAUAAUCAAGUUCCAAACAAACAACAAACUGGUAAACCAGAAACAUUAAAAGCCAUUGUUCGAGUAUGGACCCGAGCACGCACACACCUGUCCAUUGGGAUUACCAGUUUAACAGAAUGACCUUAGAUAGCAACAGUAUAUCUUUGACUGUCACACACAGGUCACUCUGAGGGAUAAGUGUAAGACUGUAACACACCUGUAGGAUGUUUUUAGAAACAGGCUGGCCUGGAAUCUCAGCAGGGGCCAAUAAGUGACUUUCAACGUUUCGCU
rnacentral:lncRNA from 1 species